rnacentral:rRNA from 1 species
CCGGCGCACGGGUGAGUAACACGUAUCCAACCUGCCGUCUACCCUUGGCCAGCCUUCUGAAAGGAAGAUUAAUCCAGGAUGGCAUCAUGAGUUCACAUGUCCGCAUGAUUAAAGGUAUUUUCCGGUAGACGAUGGGGAUGCGUUCCAUUAGAUAGUAGGCGGGGUAACGGCCCACCUAGUCAACGAUGGAUAGGGGUUCUGAGAGGAAGGUCCCCCACAUUGGAACUGAGACACGGUCCAA